CAGUAGCCGCGGGAAUACGUAGGUGGCAAGCGUUGUCCGGAAUUAUUGGGCGUAAAGGGCCCGCAGGCGGUUUCUUAAGUCUGAUGUGAAAGCCCCCGGCUCAACCGGGGAGGGUCAUUGGAAACUGGGAAACUUGAGUGCAGAAGAGGAGAGUGGAAUUCCACGUGUAGCGGUGAAAUGCGUAGAGAUGUGGAGGAACACCAGUGGCGAAGGCGACUCUCUGGUCUGUAACUGACGCUGAGGAGCGAAAGCGUGGGGAGCGAACAGGAUUAGAUACCCCGGUAGUCCCUGUCUCUUAUAC
rnacentral:rRNA from 1 species